rnacentral:rRNA from 1 species
CAGCAGCCGCGGGAAAACGUAGGUGGCAAGCGUUAUCCGGAAUUAUUGGGCGUAAAGCGCGCGCAGGCGGUUUCUUAAGUCUGAUGUGAAAGCCCACGGCUCAACCGUGGAGGGUCAUUGGAAACUGGGGAACUUGAGUGCAGAAGAGAAAAGCGGAAUUCCACGUGUAGCGGUGAAAUGCGUAGAGAUGUGGAGGAACACCAGUGGCGAAGGCGGCUUUUUGGUCUGUAACUGACGCUGAGGCGCGAAAGCGUGGGGAGCAAACAGGAUUAGAUACCCCAGUAGUCCCUGUCUCUUAUAC